UCUGAGAGAGGCACAAUCUGCCAAAAAAAAAAAAGAGGAACCAGCGCUUGGGCCGAGCUACAAGAUAUUCAUAUAGCCAAGGAAAACUGCAAGAACAAGCUCGUAACCUUGCAGUUCCAGACUAGCAUCAACUUAUUGCAGCACUAACAAGAUCUGUUCUGUGGCCAUUCGUAAUAAUUGUUCUGGGCUCUAGAUAGAAAAAACUCACCCUAGAGGUACAAGCAGUUCCCAUUUUUCAAUUUCGUUUCUCUUAUCAUAAAAACUGGCACUGGCUUGACUUACAGUGGGACAUCAGUCUUUUCUUUUAAAAUGUAUUUAUUUCUGAACUGAAAACCUACAAGAAAGACUGCACUGUCUUUGAGAUGGCAGAAUGCUCUGGGCUUCAGAUGGGAUACAGCAAAGCUGAUCUAUGCCUGCUACUGCAACAGGUCUACACGUGAUUUUUCAGCAAGCUAAAUUGCUAAAUUUAAGGAAAAGAAUCCCAGGAGAGUCGGAAGCAUACACAAGACCUAAUAAUCGCUAUAAUGAGUGUCUUCUUGAUAAUCUCCCUCCUACUCAUUCCGGGCUGCAGUUUCCUUUCUUACAAACUGAUGACAAAGGACAACACGACUUUGAAGAAAGAAGUGAAAUCUAUCACCAUCCAGUCUCACUUGCAUCAUGUUGAAACGAGGAUUGUCCUAUCUCCUUCCCAGCCUAUGCAAUUAGCUGCCCCCCAACAGAGGAGCUCCCAAGGAACCUCCCUCAUACAAACAUCACCGAUUUAUAAACAGCCUGGCGAUGUGCCACCGCUACGACCAGCCUCCAAUGUAUCUGCUGUCAGUUUUGCAUACACUGACCCUAGCACUGUUUUCUCAGCACCCAUACAAACAUCACCGAUUUAUAAACAGCCUGGCGAUGUGCCACCGCUACGACCAGCCUCCAAUGUAUCUGCUGUCAGUUUUGCAUACACUGACCCUAGCACUGUUUUCUCAGCACCCAGGAACCGUACUCCGGAAAGUUUUCUUUCUAACCUCUCAAAGUCAGGAAGCCUUUUUUCUAUGGAACAACAUGAUCUCUUUUAUGGGUCUUCCAGGAGUUCUUCCAGAGGGUCCAUGGACAACCCUGGAUACAAAUAUGAAGAUGGAGAAGGAAGCGGUGAUUCUGGGAGCAGCAUUUGUCCCAUUCAUGUGACAGACGAUCUACCUUUCACCAGACAUUAAUUAUAUUUAGGGUGACCAGAUCACUGACAGGAAAUAUCGAGACCGGGGGGGAGCAAAAAAAAACAAAAAACAAACAAACAAAAAAAGUAAAAAAAAAAAAAAAAAAAAAAAGCCGUUUUGCAGGUGCCGGGGGAAUUAGCAGGCCGCGGCCCCGCCCCCCCUGAGGGCCCCGGGCACAUGCGACACGU
rnacentral:lncRNA from 1 species